AACGCGAAGAACCUUACCCAGGCUUGACAUGCAGAUGAUCGUUACAGAAAUGUAAUUUCCCUUCGGGGCAUCUGCACAGGUGCUGCAUGGCUGUCGUCAGCUCGUGCCGUGAGGUGUUUGGUUAAGUCCAGCAACGAGCGCAACCCUUAUCAUUAGUUGCCAACACUUAGGGUGGGAACUCUAAUGAGACUGCCUGGGUUAACCAGGAGGAAGGUGAGGAUGACGUCAAGUCCGCAUGGCCCUUAUGUCUGGGGCUACACACGUGCUACAAUGGUCGGUACAGAAGGCAGCGAAACCGCGAGGCGGAGCAAAUCCCGAAAGCCGAUCCCAGUUCAGAUUGUAGUCUGCAACUCGACUACAUGAAGACGGAAUUGCUAGUAAUGGGUGGGUCAGCAACACCACCGUGAAUACGUUCCGGGUCUUGU
rnacentral:rRNA from 1 species